rnacentral:lncRNA from 1 species
UUUCUUGAGGGACUGUUCUAUGUCAGCAUGAGAUAAAUCACCUCAUCGAUAUAACAAUGACAAGUGAUGCAUGCCUAUCAUUUCAUUAUGAAAUCAUAUUGCUAUGACCCCCAUCCCCCAACACACACCUUCCAUUCUGCUGCAGAAUGUUCACUCCAGGAAGGCAGGGAUGCCCCAGCUGCAUCCUUCAUCUCAAGGCAGGUUUGCAGAGGGAAAGGGGGGGAAGUUGAGAGGCAGUCAGCUGCAGCCUGUGGUUAGCCCUUAUUGCCAGCUACCAUUUCUCUGAGUUUCCUUUCCAACAGAGAACCUGUAGUCCUGACUUGGCUACCCUGUCUUUGUCUCCAGGGAUGGAAAUGCCUGCUAGAAAGAACUGCUGUUCUCCUGCCAUCUAAAAAUGCUGUGUCCAUCCACUGCCACAACAGAACUGCCAUGUCUGCCUGGAAAUGCCCAAACAGUGGCAAGAGACAACCGAAAGGAAGCUGGCCAGUAAUGAAGACCACUUUGGGUACAGAGUGGUGUGCUCAAUUCUGCUGUUUUUUGACUAGGUGUUUGAAAGAGGCAAGAGAUGCAGGUGCCUGCUAUCUACAGUGGGACCCCAGCAAGUCUGCAAGGACCCACAGAGCCACCCACCGCAGCAUGGCUGACAGUUAACAAGUUUGGGAAGCAGAUGGAGAAUGUGAGCUCACCUCCGAAAGAACUUUUUCCCAUCUAUGCAAAAGACAUCAAGCCUGAGUGCCAGCUACAACUUGCACUCCACUCUGAGAAAAGCUGGGCCAAACAACAGACUGCAUUCUGCUCACCUCAAGCUGUUUCUCUCUGCCCUUUGAAGUUACCAACACCUGCUACUGGAGGCCAAGACACAGACCCUAAUCCAAAGACCACAAAAUCACUGAGAAUACUGACAACAAAGGCACACAAGAUCAUGUAGCCCAACAUCACAGACCAAUCUCAGUUCAAACCUCUUCAAUGAAACCUACCCAGACCUUGCCCCCAAGACUUCUGAAGAGGUGUGGGGAACAAAGAAGAAAUGGGCUAGGAAAGUAUUUAACACAUCAUAAAAAAAAAAUUGUAAAAAAAGAACCAAGAUACUCAUGUAAUGGUACAAGAUCCCAAUGAUGAAUGUAACUGUAUUUUAUACUGAAAAUGUACCAAUAAAUUUAAUGGGGAAAAAAAAUUGUACAACUAGAAGAUGGUAGUCUGGAGAUAACUGUUAAUUUUUUAACUUUUUAAAUUUCUCUGUAUUUUAGGACAGGGUUUCAAGUCACUAAGUUGCCCAGACCAGGCUCGAACUUGCAAUCUUCUUGCUUCAGCCUCUCAAGAGGUUGAGAUUACAGGUGUGCUGGGAUUACAGUUGUAUUACCACAUCCAGCUCCAAAACUAUUU